CCUACGGGUGGCAGCAGUGGGGAAUAUUGGACAAUGGGCGAAAGCCUGAUCCAGCCAUGCCGCGUGUGUGAAGAAGGCCUUCGGGUUGUAAAGCACUUUCAGUGGGGAAGAAAGCCUUGGGGCUAAUACCCUCGAGGAAGGACAUCACCCACGGAAGAAGCACCGGCUAACUCCGUGCCAGCAGCCGCGGUAAUACGGAGGGUGCGAGCGUUAAUCGGAAUUACUGGGCGUAAAGCGCGCGUAGGCGGUCUGAUAAGCCGGUUGUGAAAGCCCCGGGCUCAACCUGGGAACGGCAUCCGGAACUGUCAGGCUAGAGUGCAGGAGAGGAAGGUAGAAUUCCCGGUGUAGCGGUGAAAUGCGUAGAGAUCGGGAGGAAUACCAGUGGCGAAGGCGGCCUUCUGGACUGACACUGACGCUGAGGUGCGAAAGCGUGGGUAGCAAACAGGAUUAGAUACCCCGGUAGUC
rnacentral:rRNA from 1 species